UACGUAGGGUGCAAGCGUUAAUCGGAAUUACUGGGCGUAAAGCGCGUGUAGGCGGCUCGGUAAGUCUGCUGUGAAAGUCCAGGGCUCAACCCUGGGAUGCCGGUGGAUACUGUCGAGCUCGAGUCCGGAAGAGGCGAGUGGAAUUCCUGGUGUAGCGGUGAAAUGCGCAGAUAUCAGGAGGAACACCAAUGGCGAAGGCAGCUCGCUGGGACGUGACUGACGCUGAGACGCGAAAGCGUGGGGAGCAAACAGG
rnacentral:rRNA from 1 species